AUGCGGCUACUCAGCAUCUGGGUUGUGUGGGGAACAUUUCUGACAGAUCUGAGUCAUGGAGAUUCUGUCACUCAGCCUUUGUCCUCAGAUGUUAAAUCAGAAGGAGAAGAGUUGACUUUAAGCUGUAUCUAUGAUACCACAUGGAGCGAGUAUUAUUUAUCCUGGUACUGGCAAUACUCAGAUGCAAAGCCUGAGUUUAUAUUGUGGAAAUACUCGAACGGUGGUGAAGAUAAAGCAGAUUUUGCUGAAAGCCGUUUCUCUGCAGAGCUUCAGAGCGCGACUAAACUCACCAGCUUAACCAUCUCGGGUCUGCAGCUGACUGACUCUGCCGUGUAUUACUGCACUAUCACACUCAAAGUGAUGGAAUGCAGUCUCACAUCUGUACAAAAACUGUCUUUAGACUGUGUGUGGGAGCUCCUGUCUGAUGAGGUUUAUACAGAAUCUCUGGCAGAUGUAGCCACAAUGUUCAGCGGCGCUGUCAGCCACUCAAACAUAAACCGAGGGGAAACCACAUUCACCUCGGAUCAAAUUGUCACCAACUGUUUGCAGGAGCGGCCAAGAGAACAAACUUCAGAAUCCGAUCAGACCGGCAGAUCAUCACAUAAUCAGAUUUCAAGAUACCCAUUCUAA